UACGUAGGGUGCAAGCGUUGCCCGGAUUUAUUGGGCGUAAAGGGCGCGUAGGCGGCUCUGCACGUUCGUUGUGAAAUCGCCCGGCUCAACUGGGCGGGGUCAGCGGAUACGGCAGAGCUUGAGCAAGCUAGGGGGCAAUGGAAUUCCCGGUGUAGUGGUGGAAUGCGUAGAUAUCGGGAGGAACACCUGCGGCGAAGGCGGGUUGCUGGGCCGACACUGACGCUGAUGCGCGAAAGCCAGGGGAGCGAACGGG
rnacentral:rRNA from 1 species